rnacentral:rRNA from 1 species
UACAGAGGUCUCAAGCGUUGUUCGGAUUCAUUGGGCGUAAAGGGUGCGUAGGUGGCAGGGUAAGUCGGAUGUGAAAUCCCGGGGCUCAACCUCGGAACUGCAUUCGAUACUGCUUUGCUGGAGUACUGGAGAGGAGAUUGGAAUUUACGGUGUAGCAGUGAAAUGCGUAGAUAUCGUAAGGAAGACCAGUGGCGAAGGCGGAUCUCUGGACAGUUACUGACACUGAGGCACGAAGGCCAGGGGGAGCAAACGGG